GAUGAAGAACGUAGCGAAAUGCGAUACGUAAUGUGAAUUGCAAAUUCAGUGAAUCAUCGAGUCUUUGAACGCACAUUGCGCCCCCUGGUAUUCCGGGGGGCAUGCCUGUCCGAGCGUCAUUGCUGCCCUCAAGCACGGCUUGUGUGUUGGGUCCCGUCCUCCGAUCCCGGGGGACGGGCCCGAAAGGCAGCGGCGGCACCGCGUCCGGUCCUCGAGCGUAUGGGGCUUUGUCACCCGCUCUGUAGGCCCGGCCGGCGCUUGCCGAUCAACCCAAAUUUUUAUCCAGGUUGACCUCGGAUCAGGUAGGGAUACCCGCUGAACUUAAGCAUAUCAAUAAGCGGAGGA
rnacentral:misc_RNA from 1 species